GACGAACGCUGGCGGCGUGCCUAAUACAUGCAAGUCGAACGCACAGUUUAUACCGUAGCUUGCUCCACCAUAGACUGUGAGUUGCGAACGGGUGAGUAACGCGUAGGUAACCUGCCUGGUAGCGGGGGAUAACUAUUGGACACGAUAGCUAAUACCGCAUGCUAUUGAUUAUUGCAUGAUAAUUAAUGCAAAGUUGCAAUUGAACCACUACCAGAUGGACCUGCGUUGUAUUAGCUAGUAGGUGGGGUAACGGCGCACCUAGCCGAGGUAAGAUAGCCGACUUGAGAGGCGAAGAGGCCAAGCUGGGACGGGGACAUGGUCAAGAACACUGCGGGAGGGACACGGACGGAACUUUCGGCAAUGGAAGAAGGGCGGACCGAGCAACGCUGCGUGAGUGAAGAAGGUUGUCGGAUCGUAAAGCUCUGUUGUAAGAGAAGAACGGGAGGGUGAGUGGAAAGUGAACACUGUGACGGUACCGUACCAGAAAGGUACGGCUAACUACGUG
rnacentral:rRNA from 1 species